rnacentral:misc_RNA from 1 species
CUUUGCCCGCAUGCAAGGUCAGUAACCACAAUGAGAUGCAGAAAAGAUGAGUUUGCCCAAAAAUACUGAAAAAGGUAAGAAGCUUCUGUCACUUUCCAGGUCCAGAUACCCUUUAAGAGAUCUUCAAUAGCUUCAACAGCAACUCUAAAUAUCGUAAGGUGUGACUGAAAUGAAGAGAAACGCUCAGUAUUGAAGCUAGUGUGAAUUUUUGGUUCAAGAAGGAUUCCGUGAACCACCGAAAGCAAUUAUUGUAUAUAAACAAGAAUCGCUGUUUAAGCUGAAAUCAAAGUAAGAUAAAUAUACCUCUUCAUUCACCCUCAUAUUUUCUCUCAUUUUCCCUCAAUUUCUACCUCUUUCAUAAUUGAUUCUUCUUCUUUUUUCUUCUUUUCAAACUUCUAUUGAUGCGAAUUUCAAAGUUUUUAGGACAGCA